rnacentral:rRNA from 1 species
ACGAACGCUGGCGGCUGCUUAACACAUGCAAGUCGAACGGAGUGGCGAACGGGUGAGUAACGCGUGAGCAACCUGCCUAUGACAGUGGGAUAGCCUCGGGAAACCGGGAUUAAUACCGCAUAGUCAUAGAUGGGCUCGCGUCUGAUUAGCUAGUUGGUGAGAGAACAGCUAAACAAGGCGACGAUCAGUAGCCGGUCUCAGAGGAUGAACUGCCACAUUGGAACUGAGACACGGUCCAAACUCCUACGGGAGGCAGCAGUGGUGAAUAUUGCACAAUGGGGGAAACCCUGAUGCAGCGACGCCGCGUGAACGAAGAAGGUAGUCGUAUCGUAAAGUUCUGUCCUAUGGGAAGCAGUACCAUAGAAGAAAGCUCCGGCUAAAUACGUGCCAGCAGCCGCGGUAAUUC